rnacentral:rRNA from 1 species
UACGUAGGGGGCUAGCGUUGUCCGGAAUCAUUGGGCGUAAAGCGCGUGUAGGCGGUCCGGUAAGUCCGCUGUGAAAGUCGAGGGCUCAACCCUCGAAUGCCGGUGGAUACUGUCGGGCUUGAGUACGGGAGAGGCAAGUGGAAUUCCUGGUGUAGCGGUGGAAUGCGCAGAUAGUCAGGAGGAACACCUAUAGCGAAGGCAGCUUGCUGGGACGUUACUGACGCUAAGGCGCGAAAGCGUGGGAGCGAACAGG